rnacentral:rRNA from 1 species
UACGUAGGGUGCAAGCGUUAAUCGGAAUUACUGGGCGUAAAGCGUGCGCAGGCGGUUGUGCAAGACAGAUGUGAAAUCCCCGGGCUCAACCUGGGAACUGCAUUUGUGACUGCACGGCUAGAGUGUGUCAGAGGGGGGGUAGAAUUCCACGUGUAGCAGUGAAAUGCGUAGAUAUGUGGAGGAAUACCGAUGGCGAAGGCAGCCCCCUGGGAUGACACUGACGCUCAUGCACGAAAGCGUGGGGAGCAAACAGG